CUGAGGCUGAGAAAGAUACAGGAUCCCGAUGCAACCAGAUAGAUGUGAAGAUCGAUGUGUACGAGGAGCUGGCUGCUAUUCCAGAAGUCAAAGCUCUACAACAAGUUAAAGCAAUGCUGAGACAGAGAGAUCUCAACAGGGAGGUCUCAUCUCCUACAACCACAGCAAAUGAGAGACUUGCCCUCGCUAGUCCAUGUGAAGCUUCAAGCCCAGAUGAUGCUGUCAGGAUGGAGCCACCUCAGGGUUUUGCAGAUCCUCUUGCCACUGACUCAGAAUCACACAGAGGCAGCUUUGUCCAA